GCUAUACAUGACUCUGCGCAUAUCAAUAAGCGGAGGAAAAGAAACUAACAAGGAUUCCCCUAGUAACGGCGAGUGAAGCGGGAAGAGCUCAAAUUUGAAAUCUUAAAGGGUUUCCCUUUACGAAUUGUAGUUUAAAGAAGUGUUUUCUGUUGAGGUUUUGGUAAAAGUUCUUUGGAAUAGGACAUCAUAGAGGGUGAGAAUCCCGUAUUUGACCUUUACUUUCAACUUUGUGAUACACUUUCAAAGAGUCGGAUUGUUUGGGAAUGCAGUCCAAAAUGGGUGGUAAAUUUCAUCUAAAGCUAAAUAUUGGCGAGAGACCGAUAUGCGAACAAGUACCGUGAGGGAAAGAUGAAAAGAACUUUGAAAAGAGAGUUAAACAGUACGUGAAAUUGUCAAAAGGGAAGCGUUUGACACCAGUGUUGUUUUUUCUGAAAAUCAAUUAAAGAACUGUUUAUGCUAAGUUGUUUAGACUUUAUCAGCUAACUGUUUAGUUUUGAGCUUUUCUUUAAUGCACUUUUCAGUUAACAAGUCAACAUCAAUUUCUUUUGCUGUAAAAAAGCUUGAGGAAGGUGGCUUGAGAUUCGUCUUAAGUGUUUAUAGCCUCUUGCCUAUGCAGUCGGAGAGAUUGAGGUCUGCAGCGUAGAUCCUUCGGGGCUAAAUGCAUUUGUGCUAAGUUAUAGCAUUUUAUAGACAACUUGUUGACUAUGAUUUGUCUCGUAGCUUACUCGCUUAUGUUAUUUUACCUACGCUUAGGAUGUUGACAGCAGUAUAGACUGU
rnacentral:rRNA from 1 species